UACAGAGGUCCCAAGCGUUGUUCGGAUUCACUGGGCGUAAAGGGUGCGUAGGUGGCGAUGUAAGUCUGAUGUGAAAGCUCAGGGCUCAACCCUGAAAUGGCAUUGGAUACUAUGUUGCUUGAGGUCCGGAGGGGAGACUGGAAUUCUUGGUGUAGCAGUGAAAUGCGUAGAUAUCAAGAGGAACACCGGUGGCGAAGGCGAGUCUCUGGACGGAUCCUGACACUGAGGCACGAAAGCUAGGGGAGCAAACAGG
rnacentral:rRNA from 1 species